rnacentral:rRNA from 1 species
UACAGAGGUCUCAAGCGUUUGUUCGGAUUCAUUGGGCGUAAAGGGUGCGUAGGCGGCGCGGUAAGUCGGGUGUGAAAUCUUGGAGCUUAACUCCGAAACUGCAUUCGAUACUGCCGUGCUUUGAGUGCAGGAGAGAAGAGUGGAAUUCCACGUGUAGCGGUGAAAAUGCGUAGAGAUGUGGAGGAACACCAGUGGCGAAGGCGACUCUUUGGCCUGUAACCUGACGCUGAGGGCGCGAAAAGCGUG